rnacentral:rRNA from 1 species
AUGCCGCGUGUGUGAAGAGGGCUGAGGGUUGUAAAGCACUUUCAGUGGGGAGGAGGAUAGCAUGGUUAAGAGCUGAGCUAUUGGACGUUACCUACAGAAGAAGCACCGGCUAACUCCGUGCCAGCAGCCGCGGUAAUACGGAGGGUGCGAGCGUUAAUCGGAAUUACUGGGCGUAAAGGGUGCGUAGGUGGUUAAAUAAGUUAGAUGUAAAAACCCUGGGCUUAACCUAGGACUGAGAUUUAAUACUGUUUAACUAGAGUAUGGGAGAGGGUAGUGGAAUUUCCGGUGUAGCGGUGAAAUGCGUAGAGAUCGGAAGGAACACCAGUGGCGAAGGCGGCUACCUGGCCUAAUACUGACACUGAGGCACGAAAGCGUGGGGAGCAAACAGGAUUAGAUACCCUGGUAGUCCACGCUGUAAACGAUGUCAACUAGCCGUUGG